UAACCCCUGCGGUGUGCGUAUCGAAAGCGCAAGUUUGAAAGAACCGAUACCCGUACUCAGGGAAAUCAGGCCUUGAUGGCUCGGAAACGCCUACUCGAUAGGACUUUCGGACACAAGCAACGAUUGCCCACCUGGAAGUAAUGGGUUCUCUUCAAAAUCCUUUCGUACGGCACUGGCGGAGGAAGG
rnacentral:other from 1 species